rnacentral:lncRNA from 1 species
AUGAGUUUGUUACAGAGUGUUAAGCUAUCAGUAUGGACUAAUUUUACACAAAGGCACUGGAACAGCAUUGCUGUAGAUUCAGAAGUGGUGUUCUCCCCAAGGAAGGCUCCCCAGAGAACCACUUCCGAUUGCUUUUGUCCCGCUCAUCCCCCCUCCUCUUCAGCCCUGGAAAGAAAUACAUUCAAAGUAAUGGUAGUUUUGAGUAAAUGUGCUACAGGAAACCGAAAACAAUCUGUCAUGACUAUACACACACAAAUCAACAAACAAAACUUAUUUACAAAUAUUUGUACCUACAAGCAUAAGGACCAAGUUUAAUACUUGUGAAAUGUAUCUGAUUGCUAGAUGUAGACUGGCAGAGUUCCAUUCUUCAGCAAUAUCAGCAUAACAUUUCUACACUGCAACCACCACGUGGCUUCAAUCAGGUCUAUCCUGAAAUUUUUGUGUCUAGUUGAUCCGUAUCAUAAAACUGAAAAGCUGUACAGGUGUUUUAACCCUCUUUUGUGAUACAGACACACAUUCACCACCUACCUGAGGCUUCCCAGCAUUCUACCCAACAAGCAGGCAGCAACCUAGGGCUAUUGCUGUUACAAAUUUGUCCAGUCUGCUCAUAACAUGUUAAUUUUGGAUCACGUGGAUUCAUUCUUCAAAGCAUGCAUUUCAUCAUCUGCUACAUUUUUAAUAUUAAAAAAGGUUGAGUUAUAUAAAAUUAAAUCUGUAUGCAAAAAAAAUAAGCCCAGAUGUGCUUAAAAAUAGACUAAGUAGGUAUUUAGUUACUGUCUGCUGCAUUUUAACAUGGGCAUAAUUAGCAUCUAACAAAAAGCUAAAAGAUGUGUAUUUAUGGAACUCAACACUUCACCCAGUCAUACAGUUAACUGUCCUCAAAAGCUAACAAGCAGACCAAUUCACAAGUACCCAACUUGUUUACAUAAUUGAAAGAGUAAGAUGCAAAGUCAAAAAAAUAUAUUUUAUCCCUUAAGAUCAGGAAAGUAAAAUAAAAUGCUGGUUCUGUAACA